GGUUGCCCCUUUUCGUGUGCAGGUCCACUUUGCCCAAUCCGCUCUGUGCAUUGCUUCGCUUCCAAUCCCAUCCUCUCAUGCCACUCCAAACCAGCCGCCACACAACCCUAACCCUCAUUCCCCUCCGUCCUUGUCGCUCGUCAUUGCCGCUGCCUGGUACUCCGCCUCGACCGUCGUUGCUGCUUCUUGAUCACAAUAGCCCCUCCAACUCUCCUUCCUUCUCUUCGUUGUCUAUAUGCGGCCGUCGGCGGCGCCUGGUUUCAGAUCAGGCGUAGGUUAGGCGAGCUUGAUGGUUGGUUGUGUGAGGCUACAAGGAGAGGGAGUAGGACGAGGACAAGGUGAAGGAGUAGGCCGGCCCUCAUGGGGGCGGCGCCAUUGGCUCGCCGGAUGCCAUCCCUCUAAACCCGAGCUUGCCUCACCCUUGCGGCGAUGACCAGUAGCUCGAGUAGGAAGGGUGAGGGGCCAUCAAGAUCUAGCCGGCGGCAUUCUCCCUGGCGUCCGGACACAGAGGACUGGCCUCUGGUCAUUUGUCACCAGUUGGUGCCUCUUCCCUCCUUGUGCCACCGUCCUCCAUCUCCUCCGUCCCUCGAUUCAGCCAAGGCGACGGGGAUCAAGAUCCGGGGCGGCACACAUCAUCAUCCCGUUGCCCCUCUAACUACCACCGAGCCUAGAGAUGGCAGUAGCAAGGAGCAUGAGAGGGGUUACUGGAUCAGGUGGUCCGUGCUGAAGAAGAGGGCGUUUGUAUGAUAUGGUUCAUGGCCUUGUUGUGGUAACACCAUGGUCCGUGGGGAACAAAAAUAACACCUCUGCUACAACGGAAGUCUGGACCUCCAUCGAUAAUGACAUCUCUAGAACACUCUGAGUGGGCUUACCUAUUUCUGUUGACAAAUCACUUUCUUAUCUUAAAAUACAUCAGUGAUUCCUGGAGUUCCGGAGAAACAUUCUUCUUAUUGUUUCCAUAUGAUCAAGAUAUGGCAAAGCCCUUCAUGGUAUUCAAGGGGAAUAUGCAACAUAUGUGGUGCCUUUUGUAAGCUAAGUCGUGUUAUUGAAGUAAUUGUUCUUCAGGUAUUCCUUUAAUUUUUUUAAUAUGAUGCCGAGAUAACCAUGGUGGCUCCUCUAUAGUGUUUGGCUUUCUCGGAAAUCUUUUCCUUUUGGCAAUUUCUUUUAUCGCUCAUUUUUUGGGAGUACUCUGUUGAUUCAUAUUACACCCUUAAUAAAGUUUUUGUUUCAGACCUGCAUUCAGUCAAUCAUCCAUUGGCACUUAAGUCCUGUGAAGCACCUAUAUUAUUAGUCAAAAUCUCAUUUUGUUGCAAUACAACAUUAACAUUGAUUCAAAGCUUGGUUCGGUUGUGAAUGCAACAUGUGUUUUUAUCUUUAUAAUAUUUAUUAUGUUGCUAAUUUCAGUGCUUCAGUUUUCUCAGUCGUCACAUGAACAUGAUGAACGUGAAGAGACAACGAAAGAACGAAAGAAGGGGAUAAAGUUCCUUGCAGCACCAAUAUUGAUAGCAUCUCGAGGGAUUGAUAGGGGACGCAUGUACCCAUUCGUCCCUCCGUAAGACUUGUCGUCGUCGUUCUUCUCCAAAUAUCUUGUCCCUACAGAGGUUAGUAAAUAAGUGGAAAAGAUAGAGAGAUAGGUCCUUGGUUUGGUUUCAGUCGGCAAAUAAUCUGGAAUAGUAGCGGUUGCUACCCACAUGAUUUGUUUUCAUAUACUUUAUAAUUCAGAGGCAGGUUGGAUUCUAGAAAUCAGAGUCAAUGGUGGAUCAGAGAGGUGUGUGUGCAUCAUGCUUCUAUUUGAAAAAAAUGUGAGCACUGUUUUGUUAGGUGUCAUCUUCUUACUUCAUGUUGCAGCCAGAAUAAAAUGCUUUGGUUUUACUUUGUGCUCGGUGUUGGUAGUUGGCAGUGCUGGAGUUAUUCACCCUCCGACAAAAUCCACUAAAAAUGAUAGGGAUACAUAUCUAACUUGCUCUAUCUAGCUCAUGCUUUGAGGAGCAGUUUGAUACUUGUGUUUCAUGUUUUUGGGGAGUUAUUCUGGCUGGUAUUUAUUGUGGUCAUUUCUUCCAUUAAUUUUUUUGAACUAACUUUGAUUUCUUCCAUCAUGAUGAGAUGCACUUUGAAACUUGUGUUUCAUGUUUUUUGGGGAGUUAUUCUGGCUGGUAUUUAUUCUGGUCAUUUCUUCCACCAAUUUGUUUAAACUCACUUUGAUUUCUGCCAUCAUGAAUGAAAAUAUGCUUUUCCUCUAUGAAGAGCCUGCUACAUACUAACUUUUGUCUAAUUGAUCAAUAAUGACUUUGUUAUUAGAGAAUUCCUUUUUGAUGGCAAGAGAAUGUUAUUUUGUUUUAUAUUUAGUUAUUUUAUUGGUGACCAGAGAAUAGAUAUGUUACAUUAUUCCUUUUUGCAUCAUUGAAUUCCAUUUAAUAUGAUAAAGAUGUUUUACAAAUAAAUGAUUUUCUUCAUGUGGCCAUGUUCCUUUGUUUAAUGCAGUUUGUUUUUCACCUAUGGUUGAGUACUCCCUAUGGUUAGAUGUCAAUCUUCUAAUUCAUCCACCAGAUUAUUUUUUGCGCCUUGUCCACCUUAGCAGUAAACUUAUAGUAGUAUUAUGUGUUGCUUGUUAUCUACCUCGAUGCCAUACUAAUUCUAUUAUUUCAAAAUUGCAGGCGCCAUAUUAGUUCAGUUGUUAUCUACCUUGAUACCAUACUAAUUUCUGUGAUUCCACACCAGUUCCUAUUGCCUGUUGGUGCAAGGACCCACGCCUUCCAUCUGAGAAAUGUAAAGGAUGGAUCAAUUGGCAUGGUCAGCUCAUGUAUAGUUCUUUGUCUCUCUGGAAGAUGACAUGCAUCUCACAACACAAUCCCAGGUUCAUGGAUUGCGAAAGCUACAAUGUAGAUGCAUUGUGCCUUUAUUUUCUGGGUACUAACUUCAUAUGUCCAGUUUGUUACUGUUACCUGUACCAAUGUAUCCUUAAGAUAUUAACUUUAGAUAAACAAUCUGCUUCA